rnacentral:rRNA from 1 species
CUAGGGAGCGGGGGCCGUAUAAUGCAAGUCGAGCGAUGGAUAAGAGCUUGCUCUUAUGAAGUUAGCGGCGUGACGGGUGAGUAACACGUGGGUAACCUGCCCAUAAGACUGGGAUAACUCCGGGAAACCGGGGCUAAUACCGGAUAACAUUUUGAACCGCAUGGUUCGAAAUUGAAAGGCGGCUUCGGCUGUCACUUAUGGAUGGACCCGCGUCGCAUUAGCUAGUUGGUGAGGUAACGGCUCACCAAGGCAACGAUGCGUAGCCGACCUGAGAGGGUGAUCGGCCACACUGGGACUGAGACACGGCCCAGACUCCUACGGGAGGCAGCAGUAGGGAAUCUUCCGCAAUGGACGAAAGUCUGACGGAGCAACGCCGCGUGAGUGAUGAAGGCUUUCGGGUCGUAAAACUCUGUUGUUAGGGAAGAACAGUGCUAGUUGAAUAAGCUGGCACCCUGACGGUACCUAACCAGAAAGCCACGGCUAACUACGUGCCAGCAGCCGCGGUAAUAGUAAGUGGCAAGCGUUAUCCGGAAUUAUGGGCGUAAAGCGCGCGCAGGUGGUUUUUAAGUCUGAUGUGAAAGCCCACGGCUCACCGUGGAGGGUCUUUGGAAACGGGAGACUUGAUGCCGAGAGGAAAGUGAAUUUCAUGUGGAGCGGUGAAAGGUUAAGAUUGGAGGAACACCAGGGGCGAAGGCAAUUUU